rnacentral:rRNA from 1 species
GACGAACGCUGGCGGCGCGCUUAACACAUGCAAGUCGAGCGAAGCGGCGGACGGGUGAGUAACACGUGAGUAACCUGCCUUAGACAUUGGGAUAGCCUCGGGAAACCGGGAUUAAUACCAAAUGGUCUAAGAUGGACUCGCGUCCCAGUAGCGAGUUGGUGAGGUAACGGCCCACCAAGGCGACGAUGGGUAGCCGGCCUGGGAGGGUGACUGGCCACAUUGGAACUGAGAAACGGUCCAAACUCUACGGGAGGCAGCAGUGGGGGAUAUUGCACAAUGGGCGAAAGCCUGAUGCAGCGACGCCGCGGGGGGGAUGAAGGCUUUCGAGUUUUAAUCCUCUUUCGCUAUCGAACGGGUAUGUGGAGAAGAAGCGCCGGCUAACUACGUGCCAGCAGCCGCGGUAAUAC